CAACUUUCGUUGGAUUUUCUUCCUCCUAUAGUGUUAUACACGUGUUGCUCAUCGUGGAAGGGAAGAAACAUGGAAAAGCGGGCUCUUCCAUUUGCUUCCACAGAUUUCUCGAGCUCUCUCUCAAGCUCCGAAUCGCUGGCCUCCGCAAGAAGGAAAUCGCCAAUUUGAAAGCUUGGUUUCCUGCUUUCUCACUAGAGAUCUCUGCCAUGGCUGCUCCACCAAACUUGCGUCCGCUCUUUCGAACCAGCAUACCCUUACUGGAAUUUUAUGAUUUGGGAUAGUGGCGAUUUGAAACCGUUAACUGGGAUGAGAAUUAGAGUGAUUUGAAAACGGAGAGCAAGGAAUUGCAGGUAUCAAAUUCGGUUUUGUUUGUAUGGUAACAUGGAUUGCUCAGGUUACGUAGGAGAGGAUGGAGGUGAGAAAUACAAUUGGGAAAGAUAUGCUGAGAGGUUUACAAAACACCUUUGAAGCUGUCGUAGCUUGAAUGGAAGAUGCAAUUCCAACACCUAUCAAUCAGGUACAACUGUAUAAAAAGGCAACAAAGAUUAAAGUCCACGUGUGUAGAAUGUGGAGACCGAGAAUUUCAGGAACGACUGAUAAAAUUACAAGUCUGCACUGUAUACUGGUUGACAAAAGGUGGUACAAUAGUUCUAUCCGAUGAUGGUCGCUAUUUUUCAAAGGAUGCUGUGGAAUUUCAAGAUUGAAAACCGCUGGCUUUCAAUCUUUUAAAACAAAUUACCUUUGUAAGUUUCACUAAUGAAAGAACCCAUGGAGCGUUGUUCAACCCAUUUGUUGGGGCAUGUUAGCAGUGAAGACAAUCAAAGCCCAAUUUAUAUUAGUAGGCGGUGGGUUAGUUAAGAGUGUAUGGAAAAAAGAAGUAAAAUUGGACUACCAUAGUAGAUAGUACCACAUAUUCGUGUAACUAAAACAUUUGAGUUAUUACAUAUUGGUUGCAAACCUUAUGAUACAUUAUAUAUUGGAUUAAGGUUGUAGACUUCGUAUCGUUUAAUGACAUUUGUUUGUAAACCCUGCUGGGAAGAAAUCUCUUCAUUUGAA